rnacentral:rRNA from 1 species
AUACGGAGGGUGCAAGCGUUACUCGGAAUCACUGGGCGUAAAGCGCGCGCAGGCGGCCUGAUAAGUUGGAUGUGAAAGCCUACGGCUCAACCGUAGAACUGCAUCCAAAACUGUCAGGCUAGAGUGUGGGAGAGGAAGAUGGAAUUAGUUGUGUAGGAGUAAAAUCCGUAGAGAUAACUAGGAAUACCAAAAGCGAAGGCAAUCUUCUGGAACACUACUGACGCUGAGGCGCGAAGGCGUGGGGAGCAAACAGGAUUAGAAACCCGAGUAGUCC